AUUGAACGCUGGCGGCAGGCUUAACACAUGCAAGUCGAGCGGAGAGAGGUAGCUUGCUACUGAUCUUAGCGGCGGACGGGUGAGUAAUGCUUAGGAAUCUGCCUAUUAGUGGGGGACAACAUUUCGAAAGGAAUGCUAAUACCGCAUACGUCCUACGGGAGAAAGCAGGGGAUCUUCGGACCUUGCGCUAAUAGAUGAGCCUAAGUCGGAUUAGCUAGUUGGUGGGGUAAAGGCCUACAAAGGCGACGAACUGUAGCGGGUCUGAGAGGAUGAUCCGCCACACUGGGACUGAGACACGGCCCAGACUCCUACGGGAGGCAGCAGUGGGGAAUAUUGGACAAUGGGCGGAAGCCUGAUCCAGCCAUGCCGCGUGUGUGAAGAAGGCCUUAUGGUUGUAAAGCACUUUAAGCGAGGAGGAGGCUACUUUAGUUAAUACCUAGAGAUAGUGGACGUUACUCGCAGAAUAAGCACCGGCUAACUCUGUGCCAGCAGCCGCCGUAAUAC
rnacentral:rRNA from 1 species